rnacentral:rRNA from 1 species
GCGCAGCAGGCGCGAAUCUUCCACAAUGGGGGAAACCCUGAUGGAGCGACGCCGCGUGCGGGAUGAAGGCCCUAUGGGUUGUAAACCGCUGUUCAGUGGAAAGAACAUCCUCCGGCUGAAUAGGUCGGAGGCCUGACGUUACCACUGCAGAAAGUCCCGGCCAACUCCGUGCCAGCAGCCGCGGUAAUACGGGGGGGACGAGCGUUGUCCGGAAUCAUUGGGCGUAAAGGGCGCGUAGGCGGCGAGGAAAGUCGAAUGUGAAAUCUUGCGGCUCAACUGCAAAACUGCGUUCGAAAACUUCCUCGCUUGAGUAUGAGAGAGGUGUGCGGAAUUCCUGGUGUAGCGGUGGAAUGACGUAGAUAUCAGGAGGAACACCGGU